GCGAGCGUAGCUCAAUGGUAGAGCCUCAGUCUUCCAAACUGAUUACGCGGGUUCGAUUCCCGUCGCUCGCU
rnacentral:tRNA from 1 species